AUAACAGAGAAUGUCAUGUCAAUCCGAUGUCACAAGCAUUCAUGGGGAUCAAAUCGCUGAAGUCUAUGAUGUGCCUAUGGUGGAUAUUAUUCGCCCUUUUCCUCCUGAUCUGAACCAUAGUAAAGUUGAUAGCAUCAUUGACACACUUAAGGUAUAAAUAUAUUUACCAUGCAAGAAUUAAAAAAAAUGUAAAUAUACUGUAUAAAUUCUAAAAUAAGUAAGUACCUAAUUUUUUAUAAUGUGUUACUUAUUACUUUUUUUAUCUAUAA